CUGAUGCGGAGCAGUUUUCCAAGAUGACGUUCCGAUCACACCCCAAUACAUCAUUUUUACCUCUGAGACAUUUUCUGGAAAAACAAAAAUUUGUAUGGCGGCCAUCUUGUUUUUCGGCCAUUUUGUUUUUUUUCACUGGCGAUAAAAUUUGACCAAGACUUUAAUAGGCUUCGUGAAAACAAAAAAGUUCCAGGUGCGAUAGUUUCGCCAGGCUGUAGGGUGUCUCCCUGAUGCGGAGCAGCUUUCGAAGAUCGAAAAGUAUUUCCAUACUCAACAUGAUGUUUCGAUCACAUUCCUCAUACAUCAUUUUUACCCCCGAGGCAUUUUCGGGAAAAACGAAAAUUUUGUAUGGCGGCCAUCUUGUUUUUCCGCCAUUUUGUUUUUUUUUCAGCGGGGAUUGGAUUUGACCAAGAUUUAAAUAU